rnacentral:lncRNA from 1 species
CAUGGUUUCGCCUUUAAUGUGAGUUUGUAAAUGUUGUACACUACACCUAUUUCAGAGCAUACUGAGGCACAAGGUUUGUCCAUGUUCACUGCAAAGGGGAUAAGGUGCUGAGUGCAUUCUGAAUUGCUUGAGUUCAGCAAGACUUGACCAUACUGACUUUCAUGACUUUUUCUUUGGAGUAAUGAAGGAUCUUAAUAACUUGGAUCAAAAAUUACUCAAUCAAGAUCUGGAUGUGUUGCAGCCUUCUGAUGCAAGUACAGGAUCAACAUCUGCUAUAAAACCUGGAAAAUUGUGGAUAAACAGAACUUCUUUCCCCAGGAAGCAGGAGGAAGCAGGAGGAAAUGCCAGCAUUUGUCUGAAUGUCUGAAUGUCUGAAGCAGAGGACCUUUGAGCACAUGUCUAGGCUUAUACUAAAUAAUAAAAAGUCCGUGAACUGGUCCUGAGGUUAAUCU